CCUCCCGUGGCGCAAUGGUAGCGCAGUGGAUUUCUGAUCCGAAGGCUGUGGGUUCGAGUCCCACCGGGAGGU
rfam:Verticillium dahliae VdLs.17 supercont1.13 genomic scaffold, whole genome shotgun sequence.